rnacentral:misc_RNA from 1 species
AAAGAAAAUAAGAAAAGAAAAUAAACUCAUAUCAGAUUUUCAUAUGCCAUUUAAGGAAGAUUAGUACACUGUUGAACUACACUCCCAAGCAUUGCAACUGCUGAGAGGAUCCAUGAGAAAAAAAGAAUCAACCCACCAACAAUACUUGAAUGAGCCAGGGAAAAAAUCCCUCGAGGGAAAAAUUUUAAAUCAGGAACCAAUUUAGAAAAAUCCAUACCUUCAUAAAAAUUAAUUUUCCAAAAUGUUGAAGUGCCUCAAAAAUUCAGGCUCACGUUAUGUUCCAAGUAUAAUAAACCGUGACUUGAAGAACUCAAAUAAAGUGUGAUGCUUCAGCUUCGCUGAUUGGCAGAACAGCUUUCCAACAUUUGUUUCCUUGGCAUAUAAAAUUAGCCAUGACAUCUACUGAUGUAGACUUUGUCCACCAUGACUUCAUCCAUUACUUUUUCCCAGUGCAGCAGAGUCAACCACCAUUUCUGGUCAUUAUAUCAUGAGACUGCCCGGUUCUCACUUGCUUUGUAAUAAAGCAUCUUCUGUACAUAAAACAUCAUGUAGCCUUGUGCAGCCCUCACAAUAUUCUCAUUGACUUGAGUGACCCAAGCAUCAUCACACUUGUACCAUUGAUUACUUAGGCGUAAAUAGGUCACAUAGUGACCAGCAUCAAGUUUACCUGUGUGCGUGACAACAGCAAACAACUCAAACUCUGAUGACAUCUCAUUUGAAGCAUCUGGUUCGUCUCCAUCGAAUGGGAAAAUCCUAUUGCCAAAUCGAUUUCUCAAGAUGGAAGAAGAAAGAUAAGGUGUCAUGUCCAAUGAAAAAGGGAAUUGCAAAUAACGAUCAACUUUCCUUGACAUUUUCCUAAUCGAAGAAUGCUCAAAUCUUUUGAUGUGGAAACAAGAAACCAAAGGAAGCUUUCUUAUAGACAUUUGUUUGAGAGACUCCUGCCUCACCUGACAUUGUUGGCAAAAGAAUUUUUGGUCAGCCCCCAAUCUCUCAGGCCUAGUAAACCGGUCCAAACACCCCAUAAGAGUAGAUAUCCCACAGUUUUGGCCUGGAUUCAUGCUGUCCACCUCACCAUUGCAAGAAUGAUGAGUCUUUGUAGAUACUGACUUUGAAGAACCCCCUUGGUGAGGUUCUAAAUCCAGUGAGAUGUCCACACAUGGGUCGUAUGUUGUGGAUGUGAAACCACAAGCCAUACACAUCACAUCGGAUCGCAAGAUACCAGAAAAAACUCUAUGUGCAAUACAACAGUCUCCAUGGCCUGCACUUCCAAAAACUCGGUCAUCAAGAACGAUUCAUAGGAUAGCACUUAACAAACUAAAUUCAGUAAGGGAAGUGCAUAGAAGGUAAUGCAACAUCAUUUUUAGAAACACAGCACAAGAUAAGAUCCAAUUAUAAACACAACACAGCUUUUUAUUAGAAAAAUAAUAAUAAUACUAAUUUAUCAUGGAUGAAUAGCAUUUUUCAACUCCUUGACUAUAACUGUAACAAAGCCACUAGAAUUAAAAUUCCCUUUCAUCAGAAAAUUGGUAAUAGAUGUUUGUAAAAAACUUUUGACUGGAACAGCAGUGCAGUGAAUUAUCAUCUCAGCUGCUGUUAUCGGAGACUAAUAAAUUCAUCACUUCUGUAUUUUUAACUUCCAAAAUGUGCAACACAAACAAGACAGCUCAUUACAUUUUAUAUCACAUUUAACACCACUGUCUAUUUCCAACCAGCAAAAUAAAUAACUAACAACAAAUUAGAAGAGGAUAGGUAAAGCAUAUUUGCCAAAAGAUUGAAAACUAUAAGAAUGCACGGAUGGUCGAAGCUUGGAAUGAAAUAUGCUUGUAGCUGACAGUAUAUCUAGACCAAGAAUAUUACAUUAUGUCUGUCAAGAAAACAACUCAACAAGGGUCACAAAGAAAGUGUGACACAGAAGCAGUAUGAGAAUUGAAAUUUUCCAAAGCAUAAACAAGAAGCUUAUGCUGAAUGAGGACCUAAUGAACCUUCUUUGUUAUUCUGGGAUUGGGAUCAACCUUGUAAUGAAAUAAGACCCUAAGAAUCAAAGCUAGGAUUAACAUGAGUAUUAUAGGUGAGAAUCCUAUGAUUAAACCAAGUAGGCUAUGAAAAAGUCGACUUACUGGAGUAAAGCAGAUGACAUCAUCAAGUCUGCAUGUUGAUGUUGAGAAUUAGCCCUAAAUCUGGGAGCACUUGUCAACUCCUAGGGCAAUGACAGAGACCUAAACCCACACCCUGCAGUUAAAAGUUAUAACCUUGUGAAUCUUUCACAGUAUUUUGGAUCAUUUUGAUCAAAGAGAAUUACUACAAGUAGAAAAGUGAGGGUCAUUAGUGGCUUAAGAGAACUCUAGGUGAUCUUUAAGCUUUAGCACGUUGACCGCUUUCCUUUAUGCUACAUGACCUAAUAAUCACUCCUUCUGGUGCCUAAACCAAAGUGAAAUGCAGGAUGUGCUCCAAAGCCUUCUAAGGGCUCCCUCAUAAUGUUAGCCACCUAAACACUUGACUGUGGGGCUUGUGUCGAUCCUUCUCCACAUUUUCAUGGAUCCCAUCAAGCAUAGAGAUGAAAAAUUCAUGGGCAUCCUGUUGUUCGUAACUUGCCAAGUUAGACGCGUGUUGCCACCAACUGUAUAAAAACUUUGCGGGGCUAUAAGGCGUCCGAUCCCCGGAAAAAACAGCUGAAAACAUCGCAUCCAUGUCACAAGCCAAGCACAACCUCGCAUUCUUGUUCCCAUGACCAUCAGCAGUACCCACAUUCCUCUUCCCACCAGCGUUACUAUUGGAAACGCCAUUCUUCUUCUUACAAUAGUACCUGUUAUGCCGAUCGCUCAAGAAAUAAUUCCUCAACGGCGGCGUAUGAAGCAAUGCCUGAAGCACCGAGUUCAUAAAGCAAGUGUUUCCCAGGUUAUUCAAUCCUCGCAAGCCUCGCGGCAAAUCAGACCCGUUUUCCAGCGGACUCGAGCCGGUCUCCAUCAACACACGGUCCCUGAUAUCAGGAGACCAGGGCCGGUAAUCGACUCUCCGUCUUUUACGGAGAUUUUCGGGUUUUGCCGAUUGGAUUGUGGCUGAUUUGAGUGUGGCGGUUUGGGAUAAGACCACCGCGGCAUCGAAAUCCCGGUCGUAGACCUGAUCGCGGCACGCACAGCAGAAGAUCUCCGCGCGAUCAACGUCCACCGCGAUCUCAUGGCCUGGAGGCAUGGAAGUGGCAUGCGCAGCCGCGUGGGAUGGUCCGGGAGGCGCGUGGCAAGAGAUAGCCGCGCAUGCCAAGCAAGCGUAAAGCCGGGGCCGCGCAGACUCUCCGCACGCGCCGCAGCGAGGAACCUCGGAGGGGUCCCGGCGUAUAGCUGCCCGUCCGCCCGGUGGUUUCACCCGGAGACAAUCUUGGAGGGCCCGGAAGGGCUUGGAGCCGUUCCGGGCACGGAACUCGGCUAAGUGGGGACAAGGAGGAGGGAAAAUCUGGGUGUUGAACCGGUGGUGGUGGUGGUGAUGGUUGAUCUUUGAUGACAUGGGUGGAGAUUAGGGUUGUAUGGCGGUGGCUGACGGUGGAAACCCUAGAUUUGAAGAACAUAAGGUUCAUGAAUGAAGAGAUCAACGGCUAGGAUUAGACGGAGCAGAGUGUGGGAGCAUGGAGAAUAAUGAGGAUGAUCUGGUUAGUGAGGGUACCUGUUUGGUAAGAAGAGUAAUGUUUCUGUAUACUAAUGAGAUAUUGUGCUGUGGGCUCUCUUUAUUUUCUCUUCUUUUUUAAGGGCCAAUUUUUUUUGUAUUUGUUUUCUCUCAAUUCAUUUUCUUUAAAAAAAUGAGAAAUCAUAGACUUAAGAGGAAGAAGACCAAGGCAGGAAUUCCAUAAAGUGAGAC